rnacentral:rRNA from 1 species
UACAGAGGUCUCAAGCGUUGUUCGGAUUCAUUGGGCGUCAAGGGUGCGUCGGUGGCGCGGUAAGUCGGGUGUGAAAUCUCGGAGCUUAACUCCGAAAUUGCAUUCGAUACUGCCGUGCUUGAGGACUGGAGAGGAGACUGGAAUUCAUGGUGUAGCAGUGAAAUGCGUAGAUAUCUGGAGGAACACCGGUGGCGAAGGCGGCAUCCUGGACCGGUAUUGACGCUGAGGCGCGAAAGCCAGGGGAGCAAACGGG